GAUGAACGCUGGCGGCGUGCCUAAUACAUGCAAGUCGAGCGAACGGACGAGAAGCUUGCUUCUCUGAUGUUAGCGGCGGACGGGUGAGUAACACGUGGAUAACCUACCUAUAAGACUGGGAUAACUUCGGGAAACCGGAGCUAAUACCGGAUAAUAUUUUGAACCGCAUGGUUCAAUAGUGAAAGACGGUCUUGCUGUCACUUAUAGAUGGAUCCGCGCUGCAUUAGCUAGUUGGUAAGGUAACGGCUUACCAAGGCGACGAUGCAUAGCCGACCUGAGAGGGUGAUCGGCCACACUGGAACUGAGACACGGUCCAGACUCCUACGGGAGGCAGCAGUAGGGAAUCUUCCGCAAUGGGCGAAAGCCUGACGGAGCAACGCCGCGUGAGUGAUGAAGGUCUUCGGAUCGUAAAACUCUGUUAUUAGGGAAGAACAAAUGUGUAAGUAACUGUGCACGUCUUGACGGUACCUAAUCAGAAAGCCACGGCUAACUACGUG
rnacentral:rRNA from 1 species